AGAUUGAACGCUGGCGGCAGGCCUAACACAUGCAAGUCGAGCGGCAGCACGGGUACUUGUACCUGGUGGCGAGCGGCGGACGGGUGAGUAAUGCCUAGGAAUCUGCCUGGUAGUGGGGGAUAACGCUCGGAAACGGACGCUAAUACCGCAUACGUCCUACGGGAGAAAGCAGGGGACCUUCGGGCCUUGCGCUAUCAGACGAGCUACGUCGGA
rnacentral:rRNA from 1 species